rnacentral:rRNA from 1 species
AUUGAACGCUGGCGGCAGGCCUAACACAUGCAAGUCGAGCGGAGCGGCGGACGGGUGAGUAGUGCCUAGGAAUCUGCCUGGUAGUGGGGGAUAACGUUCGGAACCGGGCGCUAAUACCGCUUACUAUCAGCUGAGCCUAGGCCGGAUUAGCUAGUGGGUGGGGUAAAGGCCUACCAAGGCGACGAUCCGUACCUGGUCUGAGUGGAUGAUCAGGCACACUGGAACUGAGACACGGUCCAGACUCCUACGGGAGGCAGCAGUGGGGAAUAUUGGACAAGGGGCGAAAGCCUGAUGCAGCCAUGCCGCGUGUGUGAAGAAGGUCUUCGGGUUGUAAAGCACUUGAAGUUGGGAGGCGUUACCAACAGAAUAAGCACCGGCUAACUUCGUGCCAGCAGCCGCGGUAAUUC